UCCUCAAUAGCUCAGUUGGUUAGAGCGCCGGACUGUUAAUCCGUAGGUCCCUGGUUCGAGCCCAGGUUGAGGAGCCA
rnacentral:tRNA from 1 species